rnacentral:rRNA from 1 species
CCUACGGGCGGCAGCAGUGGGGAAUAUUGCACAAUGGGCGAAAGCCUGAUGCAGCGACGCCGCGUGAGUGAAGAAGUAUUUCGGUAUGUAAAGCUCUAUCAGCAGGGAAGAAAAUGACGGUACCUGACUAAGAAGCCCCGGCUAACUACGUGCCAGCAGCCGCGGUAAUACGUAGGGGGCAAGCGUUAUCCGGAUUUACUGAGUGUAAAGGGAGCGUAGGUGGUUCGGGAAGUCAGAUGUGAAGGCCCGGGGCUCAACCCCGGGACUGCAUUUGAAACUGCCGGGCUAGAGUGCAGGAGAGGUAAGUGGAAUUCCUAGUGUAGCGGUGAAAUGCGUAGGUAUUAGGAGGAACACCAGUGACGAAGGCGGCUUACUGGACUGUAACUGACACUGAGGCUCGAAAGCGUGGGGAGCAAACAGGAUUAGAUACCCUGGUAGUC